rnacentral:rRNA from 1 species
AGGACGAACGCUGGCGGCGUGCCUAACACAUGCAAGUCGAACGGAGCUGAGGAGCUUGCUCCUUAGCUUAGUGGCGGACGGGUGAGUAACGCGUGAGUAACCUGCCUCUGAGAGGGGAAUAACGUUCUGAAAAGAACGCUAAUACCGCAUAACGUAUUGAAGCCGCAUGACUUUGAUACCAAAGAUUUUAUCGCUCGGAGAUGGACUCGCGUCCGAUUAGCUUGUUGGUGAGGCAACGGCUCACCAAGGCGACGAUCGGUAGCCGGACUGAGAGGUUGAUCGGCCACAUUGGGACUGAGACACGGCCCAGACUCCUACGGGAGGCAGCAGUGGGGGAUAUUGCGCAAUGGGGGCAACCCUGACGCAGCAACGCCGCGUGAAGGAUGAAGGUUUUCGGAUUGUAAACUUCUUUUAUCAGGGACGAAAUUUGACGGUACCUGAUGAAUAAGCUCCGGCUAACUACGUGCCAGCCGCUGC